GCCGAUGUAGCUCAGUUGGUAGAGCAGCACAUUCGUAAUGUGCGGGUCGGGGGUUCGAGUCCCUUCAUCGGCU
rnacentral:tRNA from 1 species